UCCACUUGUGUGGCGUGAGAGUGACUCAGAAUACCUUGGAAGCCACCUCCAGAGGCAGAGUAUGUGCCACGACACACGUUGUCACCGCCUAACAGACCGGGGGCUGCUGACACAGGUGCGAGAGAACAGCGUGGAGGAGCCACAGUCCCAGAUGUGAAGAGGGUUGGUCCAGCGGCCGCGGGAGACUUCAGAACGUCUCUGCCCACCGGAG